UUGCUUCAGCAAACGUACUAAAAAUGGAACAAUACAGAGAAAACUAUCAUGGCCCCUAUGCAAGGAUGAUGGGUAACUUUGUGAAGCAUAUUUUAUUAAU
ensembl:snRNA U6 U6 spliceosomal RNA